ensembl:lncRNA
GCAACAGCAUGAACCGGGGGGGCUCUGAAGGAGGUGAAAUUGGUUACAUCCUGACUGAUUAAGUCUUGAAUAAAGGGAGAGACUUGGUUAAGAUCAGGUUCCCAGGUCGAAGGCUUCUGAAAAGGUAAGUGAAGAUAAUCAGAAUCAUAAGCAAAAUGAUCUAAAAUUUUCAAUUUCCUAUGUAAAUCACGUCUAAGUUGGAGUUUAUCCAGUUUAGUAGGAGUGGGGAUAAAGUUAAGGCCCCUUUCCAGGAUUUCUCCCUCAGCUAAGUGGCCGAAGAUGCGUCUGGCUGUCAUUGGUGUCCAAUGCACUGGAUCUUUGUCCCCUACUCUAAAGGUGAUUGGACUGAUUUCAGUUAGAAAAUUAUACUUGCUAGUGAUGGUCUUAUUAAGAAGUGUAAUCAAAUGUUGUUGCUCUUUCUCUAAAUUAAUGACAGGGAUCCUGAUAAUGGCAUUGGGAAAGGCCCGCUUGGCACUGGUAACUAAAAGUCCCAAUUGUUUGUCAGUGGUGUUCGGAAGUAGAAGGCCAAGGCAGUUGUUGAGGCCCACCGAAAGAAUGACCUCCUUAACUAGUUUAUGUGGUUUAAGCCCUUUCAAAAUGGACUGCAUAUGAUGAAUCCCUGCACCAGGGAAGCUGUCAAUUUGGAUUUUGGGAUCCUCAAAAUGAGGAAUUCUAGAUAAAUUGGAAUCUCCCAGAAUAACAAUGGGUUUAAUGAUUUUAACUGACCAAUCUUUCAAUUUUCUGUUUGUAUUGAUAUGUCUAUGGGGUUCACGUCGUGCUGCAAAGUUCAGAGAGGAGCCACUCGGCAAGGCAAAGACAUCCUCAGAUCGAGCAGUAGAGGACGAGAAGUAGAGAAGUCAGGAAGAGGAGAUACAGUGUGGAGUGGCGGGUCAAUGAGACCAGAUGUAAGGUCUUUGUUCUCAAGGUGGAAGUCUAGCUUCUCCUUGUCCUGUCUAACACCGCUCUCCUUCCUCUGAGGGGUGAUGGUGCUAGCACUGGCUAUCUGCUGGGGAGGCUUGGUUUCAUCCCUGAAGUCUGACUGGCUGUUCUGCACCUCAUCAGCUGUAGGUGCACAAGAGGGAGUUAACGAAUGUACAGUAUCAUGGCUGGGGUUUACAGGAACGACGGCAGAGUCGUUCAAGCACGGAGGGAGAGGAGAGUUUCUGAAUGUAGAAUUCUCCACAUCCCCCACCAAAGGUUCAGGGCUCCUGGAUAAGCUCAACUGGGCCGGGUUAUCCUUUGGAGAGGUCAAAGGUAUUAAGAUGUUAACAUGGGAUUCGGGAGUUGAAUUAGGUGCCUGAUUAGACUCUGAUGGUGAUAAGAUUUUACCUCUCCUUCUAGUCAAACUACUUCUCUGAUGUCUAAGAGAUCUUUGUGGUAGAGGGGAGUUUGAGAGUUGUUCAAUAAGAACAGCUGGUGGCGGUAGAGGAGGAAAAUCUUCCUCUUAGGGUUGGAAGCCUGCUGAGGCCGUUGAUGGUGCCCCGGAAGAGGGAGUCAUGAUCAUGGCUCGCAACAUCUCGAUGGAGGAAGGAGUUAGUUUGCGACCAUAUCUGGCACGGGCCCACUUGAGAGCUCGAUUAUAAGCUUCUAACUGAAACGGAGGUAAGUUUAAAAGAUUGUGAGAGAUAACCUGAUCAUAGUGGUCACGUAGGAUCACAAAGUUGUUGUGUAUCCACUCAUCUGUGUUCUGUUGAACUCUCUGAAAGGUGGCCAAAUUGGUUGAUCCAGGUUUAAUAAAAGUGGUCGUCUUGUUAAUUUUGUGAACCAUGCCUUUAGGAUAAGCUUUGGUUUCUAAUGAGUUGUUAACAAUCUCAGAAUGAUGAACAGCCUGGAGUAACUUAAAAUAAACUUUGGUGGCAUCUAUAUUGAGUGGUGUGUUCAAUUGUGCUACCUGUUCUUGUUCCCUAGAUUGAAGAUGAGGAGGAGGGGUUAGGGUUAGGGUUAGGGAACCUGUAAGACCCAAAUAUAGAAAAACCUAAGAAAAAAUAUAUUUGACCUUUAAAAUGUUGUUGUAGGAGGCCUUUGAUGCAGAAAUGAAAGAUUUUUCUUAAAAAAAAUGUUUAUGUACG